UGUUACAUCUAAGAAUGGUAUUGCAGUUAUGAUAUCAUCUACAUAUACUUUUAAGAAUGGAACUGUAAAGGAACCAUCCAGUUGUUGGUAAAAAGAUCCAUCAAAUUGGAAGAAGCUUGAAUC